UGGGGAUUAGUGGCGAACGGGUGAGUAACACGUGGGCAAUCUGCCCUGCACUCUGGGACAAGCCCUGGAAACGGGGUCUAAUACCGGAUACGACACAGGGAGGCAUCUCCUCUGUGUGGAAAGCUCCGGCGGUGCAGGAUGAGCCCGCGGCCUAUCAGCUUGUUGGUGAGGUAACGGCUCACCAAGGCGACGACGGGUAGCCGGCCUGAGAGGGCGACCGGCCACACUGGGACUGAGACACGGCCCAGACUCCUACGGGAGGCAGCAGUGGGGAAUAUUGCACAAUGGGCGCAAGCCUGAUGCAGCGACGCCGCGUGAGGGAUGACGGCCUUCGGGUUGUAAACCUCUUUCAGCAGGGAAGAAGCGCAAGUGACGGUACCUGCAGAAGAAGCGCCGGCUAACUACGUGCCAGCAGCCGCGGUAAUACGUAGGGCGCGAGCGUUGUCCGGAAUUAUUGGGCGUAAAGAGCUCGUAGGCGGCUUGUCGCGUCGGUUGUGAAAGCCCGGGGCU
rnacentral:rRNA from 1 species